AUUGAACGCUGGCGGCAUGCCUUACACAUGCAAGUCGAACGGAAACACGUCUUCGUUUGCCGUCUGGCGUCGGACGGGGGAGUAAUACAUCCAAACGGACCCGCUCGUUGUGGGUAACGAAUCGCAAGCUGUGCUAAUACCUCAUACCAUCUACGGAUGUAAGCCGGGGAGUUCAAUGCCGUGCGCGAACUUUGCGGUCGAUGGCAGAUUAGGUAGCUGGUGGGAUAAAAGCUUACCAAGCCGAGGAUCUGUAGCUGGUCUGAGAGGACGACCAGCCACACUGGGACUGAGACACGGCCCAGACUCCUACGGGAGGCAGCAGUGGGGAAUUUUGGACAAUGGGCGAAAGCCUGAUCCAGCAAUGCCGCGUGCGGGAUGAAGGCCUUCGGGUUGUAAAGCGCUUUUGUACGGAAAGAAAAAAUUCGGAUUAAUACCUGCGGGCCAUGACGGUACCGGAAGAAUAAGCACCGGCUAACUACGUG
rnacentral:rRNA from 1 species